AUGCCUUGGUUCAAGACAAGGCAGAGCAUUUCAAAACACUCAACUCCCAUCUAUGUCAAACAGACACCUGAUACUGAAACCAGUUGUCAUGUCUUUAAAGACUAUCCAGUGCAGAUGUUUGGCAUCUCAGGAAAUAUGUCAGGUGUCGAUUCUGCACCUGUUUUGGGAGAUAUCUACAGGCAAUGUGGAAACCUACUGGUUCAGCUUGAAGGCAUUUAGUUGCCUUUGUUUCCUGUGAUUUGGUGGCCAUUACAUAUUUGGGGCCCUGCAAAUACCAGCAGAAAUGUGUAAAUUACAACAUCAGGGCCAGGGAGAAUUUUUUCUCAUAUUUUUAGCACUAAGAUAAAGCUAGAAAACUU
rnacentral:lncRNA from 1 species